AUUACAGGUGUUGCAUGGCUGUCGUCAGCUCGUGUCGUGAGAUGUUCGGUUAAGUCCGCUAACGGGCGCAACCUCGCUGUGUGUUAUAUGUGUCACACAGGACUGCUGGUAUUAAGCCGGAGGAAGGUGGGACGACGUCAAGUCAGCAUGACCUUUAUAUCCAGGGCUACACACACGCUACAAUGGUCAGUACAAUGGGUUGCCAAGCCGCGAGGCGGAGCCAAUCCUAAAAAGCUGGCCUCAGUUCAGAUUGCAGUCUGAAACUCGACUGCAUGAAGUCGGAGUUGCUAGUAAACGCAGGUCAGCUAUACUGCGUUGAAUACGUUCCCGGGGCUU
rnacentral:rRNA from 1 species